rnacentral:tRNA from 1 species
CAAGACGUAGCUUAAACAAAAGCAUUCAGCUUACACCUGAAAGAUGUCUGCCAAUAUCAGAUCGUCUUGA